GGAGGCAAGCCACUACUGCAGCUGGAUCUGGAUGUAUAGCUGCUUUGUCAGUUGAAAGAUACUUAGUCUCCAGUGAUCUUCUUAUUGAAUUCCACCAGCCUGUUCGCGAAGAGAAAAAGAAGGAGAUUGAAGGCAAAGAUGUUGAGAUGGGCUUUGACAUUACUCACACAAAGCACAAGGGACAGUAUGCACUCCGCAAGUUAUACCAUGGAAGCCCAAGGCUCAUUUUGGUUCUAUAUACUUCUCCAACAUGUGGUCCCUCUAGAACAUUAAAACCAA